CUUCACGAGAUGCCGUCGGCAAGCUCCGACUCGGCGGCACGCCAACCCCACGCUCGUGGGUGGCUCGGAUGACGAAGCGGUCUGGACCAACCGGUGCAGACAAGAGCGCCUC
rnacentral:ncRNA from 2 species